UUUUUAGCACCAAGGAUCAAACUCACAACCUCGUGCUUACCAAGCAAGUGCUUGAACCGCUGAGCUAAAUCCCUGGCACCAGGGAUUUUAAUUUUUUUUUUGCCCCUCCUGGUAACUGUCUCCUUCUCGGUGUCUGCAGCCCAGAGCAGCUUCCUCUAGCAGUCUUUCAUGCUCUCCUGUUCUCUGGGACUCAGAUUCCCUAAACACUCUGGCGGGAUGUGCUGUGCCCCCAGCUCUGCCAUCAUCUGCCUUUGCCUUAAGGCUCCUCUGGAGGGUUCCAGCUGUUCUUACGUGAGGAGACGGCCUCUGCCACCUCAGCCAGGCCGUGAAAGGGCCUUGGGCUGUGCUACUCAGAACUCUGGGGCUUAUGGAGAGGAGUCACUGAGGCAGACCCAGGGAAGGGCCCCAGGGCAGCGUCUGGCCAGAUGCUAAUAUGGGUCUCUUCCUUUGCUCUUCACCCUCUGUCUGGACUGUGGGAGGAGAGACAGAAGUGAAGUCAGGCAAGUGGGAGCACCAUGUGACCUGACAGGGAGCACUCUAUUGAACCAGGAAGGCAGACAGGUCCUGCAGAGGACCUAGUGCCUGUGUUAACUCGUGAGAAUGAGAAACGUGGAGGCCAGGGGAAGAAGGGCUUUCUGUGCAGGGAGAACUCUGCUGGAGUGCAGCAGGUAGGCUGGCAAAGUCACUUUAGGAGGGAGGCCCAUGGGCAGGAGCAGGUACUGAAGGUCUGAGCCUAAUGGCCAAGGGUUUUAUCUUGUGAAUUGGGGACCAUGGAGGUCCCCUUGUAGGUCCUUUUGUAGCAGUGUAAUUUGCAUUUCAGAAAAAUAUCUCUGAUGACAAUGCAGAGAAUGGGUAAAGAGUGCAGUCCAAAACCCCAAGUGGAAGGAAGACAGUUAGGAGGCAAGAGACCGGGCAGCUGUUAGUCCAGCCCGCUACACAGCCACCCAAAUGCAAGCAGACAAAAAGACUGAAGAUGUAGCUCAGUGUGUGCUCAACGCAGCCCAAGGCAGUAGGGUCUACUCCCAAUAUCAAUCAAUCAACAAACAAAGAGGACCUGGACAUAGUGAUGAUGCUGGGAACACAGGAGUGACAGGCCUGGGAGUGCUAGGAGAGAAGUCAUGGGAGUUUGUACUUGGAGGUGACAGAUGAUCCCCCUCCACAUUCUGGUUUUUUUUUUUUUUUUUUUUUUGUCUUUUUCAUUUUUAUCGGUACCAGGGAUCGAACUCACAACCGCCUGCUUGUAAGGCAGGUGCUUAUGCCGCUGAGCUAAAUCCCCAGCCCCUUCCCUCCACAUUCUGGCCUUGGCUCAGUGGCAAAGGGUAGGGGUGGUGAGAUAGGCCUGGGGCAGUGAACUCUGAGCUCUGACUGGACGCACACCUGCAGGGUCGGGGCCUGUCCCAGCAAAGACGGGCAGGAGGCUAGGAGAGUGUGAGGGCAACUUCACACUCAGAAACCAAGGGGUCCGCUGGAGGACUGGGGCUGCCCAGUGUAUAGCACAUGCUCAGACGCACGAAGCCCCGGGUUUGAUCCCCACUACUGCAAAACUAACAAACCUCAAACAAAAAAAUUAAAUGAAAUGUCUGAAAGAGA